UACAUGGGGUGCAACCGUUGCUCGGAAUCAUUGGGCGUAAAGCGCGCGUAGGCGGUUACUUAAGUUGGAUGUGAAAGCCCUCGGCUUAACUGAGGAAGUGCAUCCAAAACUGAGUAGCUAGAGUACGAAAGAGGGUCGCGGAAUUCCCGGUGUAGAGGUGAAAUUCGUAGAUAUCGGGAGGAACACCGGUGGCGAAGGCGGCGACCUGGGUCGAGACUGACGCUGAGGCGCGAAAGCGUGGGGAGCGAACAGG
rnacentral:rRNA from 1 species